UUCAAACGCUGGUGAAAAUCUUUCCAUCUGGUGUGAUUUCUUCGCCUCACCGCCACCCCCAACUCCAGAGAAGCUGCACAAGGCUCCUAGUCUCCCCACCGAGGAGGCUGCGGCGGCGGCGGAAACCUGAUCCCAGCCUGACUUUCAGUAAACACCAAUGCAGAGAGCAAUAAAGCAUCCGGUACAGUCGUCCCCGGCGCACAGCCCCCGCCCGCUACAUCUUUGAUAAGUGGCUGUUGGAGGAGCGAUUCAUCAACGGUCGGAACAGAAGGCUGGGAAGGCGGGAGGGAAAGAGAAAGGGAGGGGAAGAGGCCUCUCCUCUGCGCCCUGGGCGCGCCACUCGGUCGGCGGGUGUGUUCCUGCCGCCGCGCCGCGAGCCCAGCUAAGGUGCGCGUCAGGGGCUGGUGAGGCCUUUCGCCACGCCGCCCUUCCGCCCCAGCAAGCGCCUUCGGGACCGGGGUUGUCGGGGAACAAAGCACUCAGCUCUAUGGCUGUCUCCCCUUGCGCGAGCGCGUCGUACCUGCGUGGAGCAGCCCGAGGCUGAGCAGCAGCAGCAGCAGCAGCGCUAGCGGCGGCGGGCAGAUCCGGGGGCGGCGGCGCUGCUCAGCCCCGGCGGCAGCAGCGGAGGCGGCGGCGGCGCAGGAAGAUGCUGCUCUCAAGCCCAUGCCCGUCCAUGCAGUCCAAGAUUUAAUUAGGCCCCUAUGAAAGAAGAAUCUCAUUCUUUGGACCAUAUUUUAAGACAUGAAGAAAAGAUGAGACCAGAAUAGUACAAUUAGAGGACAUUGCAAAACAUCCCAUGGUACGAACAUGCCAAAUGGACAGAAUUAAAACACAUGCCAGAACAUUAAUGGAUCGUAAA